rnacentral:rRNA from 1 species
AAAUUGAAGAGUUUGAUCAUGGCUCAGAUUGAACGCUGGCGGCAGGCCUAACACAUGCAAGUCGAACGGUAACAGGAAGCAGCUUGCUGCUUUGCUGACGAGUGGCGGACGGGUGAGUAAUGUCUGGGAAACUGCCUGAUGGAGGGGGAUAACUACUGGAAACGGUAGCUAAUACCGCAUAACGUCGCAAGACCAAAGAGGGGGACCUUAGGGCCUCUUGCCAUCGGAUGUGCCCAGAUGGGAUUAGCUAGUAGGUGGGGUAAAGGCUCACCUAGGCGACGAUCCCUAGCUGGUCUGAGAGGAUGACCAGCCACACUGGAACUGAGACACGGUCCAGACUCCUACGGGAGGCAGCAGUGGGGAAUAUUGCACAAUGGGCGCAAGCCUGAUGCAGCCAUGCCGCGUGUAUGAAGAAGGCCUUCGGGUUGUAAAGUACUUUCAGCGGGGAGGAAGGGAGUAAAG